rnacentral:tRNA from 1 species
GCUAUAGCUCAGUUGGUUAGAGCGCUGGAUUGUGGUUCCAGAGGUCGCCGGUUCAAAUCCGGUCUUC